rnacentral:rRNA from 1 species
UACGUAGGGGGCGAGCGUUGUCCGGAAUUAUUGGGCGUAAAGAGCUCGUAGGCGGCCUGUUGCGUCCGCUGUGAAAGCCCGGGGCUUAACCCCGGGUCGGCAGUGGAUACGGGCAGGCUAGAGGUAGGUAGGGGAGAAUGGAAUUCCCGGUGUAGCGGUGAAAUGCGCAGAUAUCGGGAGGAACACCGGUGGCGAAGGCGGUUCUCUGGGCCUUACCUGACGCUGAGGAGC